rnacentral:rRNA from 1 species
AACAAACGCUGGCGGCGUGCAUAACACAUGCAAGUCUAACGGGAAUGUCGGCUUCGGCUGACUAGUACCGUGGCGAACGGGUGAGUAACACGUGGGUAAUCUAACCUCGAGUUUGGGAUAACCUUGCGAAAGCGAGGCUAAUACCGAAUAAGACCACGCCCUGCACGCAGGGUGCGGUAAAAGGUGGCCUCUUCCUGAAAGCUAUCACUUGAGGAUGAGCCCGCGGCCUAUUAGCUAGUUGGUAGGGUAACGGCCUACCAAGGCGACGAUGGGUAGCCGGCCUGAGAGGGUGUACGGCCACACUGGCACUGAGAUACGGGCCAGACUCCUACGGGAGGCAGCAGUGGGGAAUUUUGCGCAAUGGGGGAAACCCUGACGCAGCAACGCCGCGUGAGUGAUGAAGGCCUUCGGGUCGUAAAGCUCUUUUAGUGGGGAAGAAGCCCUCCGGGACUAAUACUCCCGGGGUCUGACGGUACCCGCAGAAAAAGUUCCGGCUAACUACGUGCCAGCAGCCGCGGUAA